UUUCAACCAGAAGAAUGUUGUUAUAGUCUGCCAUAUUUGCAUCCUGUAUAUAAUACAUCCUUUUUCUUUAAAACCAAGAGUUUCUGACAUUAUAUUCCUUUAUCCCUUUAUAGUUUUUCUGUAUUUCCUAAGAGCAAAGGCAUUAUCAUACAAUCUCAGUACAAAGAUCAAAAUCAGGAAUUUUAACCAGAACCUUCUUUUAUUUAAUACACCGGCUCAUAUUUUAAGUUUUGCUAAUUGUGGCAAGAAUGCCCUUUAUAGCUAUUUCCUGGGAUCACUUGAAUUCCAUUGUCAGGACUCUUUUACUUUGCUUUAAUCCUGGCAAGGCAGUUAGCUACUCAGCCUUCCUUUGUCUUUCAUGACCUUGACAUUUUUGGAAAGUACUGGCGGGCUGUUUUGUAGAAUGUCACUAAAUUGGAUUUGUCUGAUAUUUUCUCACAAGUAGAUUCAGAAUAUGCACUUUUCAACAGGAAUUUUACUGAAAGAAGGUUAUGUCCUCAGUGCCUCACAUCAAGAAGCACAUGACAUUGGCUUGUCCCAAUAUUGGUGAUAUUAGCCUAGAUCAUUGGUUAAAGUUAUGUCUGCAGAGAUUCUCCACCAUAAGUUUGCAUUUUCUCUUUGUAACAUUAAGUAUUUUAGAGGAAUAUAUUUUGAGACUAAAUAUUCUGUUCUUCACUAGAUUCUCAUCUACUGGUUUUAGCAUUAAUUGAUGAUUCUCAUUUGGACAAAUACAUAUUAUAUACAUAACAUAUAUGUAUAUAUGUAUGUGCAUGUACAUAUAUAUAUAUAAGAGAAGGUGCAAAUGUGGCAAAAUAUAACAAAUUUUAUUAUUUGGUUGAAAGUAUGUGAGAGUUUUUUGCUAUUCUUAAAUUUUAUGUGGACAUUUGAAAUUGUAUCCAAAAAAUAAAUAAAGCUUGAAACAGUUCUUGUUAAAAUGGUUGUGAAAUGGUGAUCAGGAGACCUUAUAUAAGCUUUUUAGGGCUUGCCAUAACAAAAUACCAUAGACUGUGUGGCUUAAAUGACAUUUAUGUACUCAUGGUUCUAGAGCCUAGAAAUCCAAAAUCCAUGGGCAGAUAUGGUUUCUCCUGAGCCUUCCUCCUUGCCUUGCAAAUGGCUGAAUUCUUGCUGUGUCCCCAUGUGGUCUUUCUGAGGAAAGAAGCCUCACCCUGAUGUUUUUACCAACAGCUUCAUUCUAAUGUAAUCACUUCUUGAAAGACCUAAUUUUCAAAUAUGACCACUUCAUAGGUACUAGGGGUUGCAAUUUCAACAUAUAAAUUUUAUUGGGGGGGGGAGGGGACACAAUUCAGUUUAUAACCAUCCCUUUGGAAUGACAUUUGAGUUGAUACCUAAAUUUCAAGAGGCCAGCCAUGCUAAAACUAGUGAAAGUUUCUUCCAGGAAUAGGGAACAGCAAGUGUAAAAGCCCUGAGAUAGGAACAAGUUUGAUGGUAAUUUUCAGCCAACUAGUGAGAGUGUAAGAUGGUAAACCAGUUGGGAAAAAAAACAACAGUUUGGCAGUUUAUUACAACAUGCAAUGUAUAUUUACCCUAUAGUCCAGCAAUUCCAUGUCUUGAUAUUUACCCCAGAUAAAUGAAAACUUAACAUUCACAAAUAGAUGUGGUUAAGAAUAUUCAUAGCAGCUUUCCGCAUAAGAGCAUAAGAAUCCCAAACUGGAAGGCACUCCCCUCCCAUGUUCAUCAGUAAAUGAAUGCACAAAUUGUGGUUAUAUUCAUACAAUAAAGGAAAAAAAAGUAAUGAAACAUUGAUACUCAACAAAAAGAGCAAAAGAGUACCUAAUGGAUGAUUCUAUAUAUAAUCUUUUUUGUUUGUUUGGCACUGAGGAUUGAGCCCAGGGGUUCUUUACCACUGAGCUAUCCCCCAGCCCUUUUGGAGGGGUAGUGUGAGGGGGUGCCAGGGAUUGAAUUCAGGGGCACUCGGGCCACUGAGCCAUAUCCCCAGCCCUAUUUUGUAUUUUAUUUAGAGACAGGGUCUCUCUGAAUUGCUUAGUGCUUCGCCUUUGCUGAGGCUGGCUUUGAAGUUGUGAUCCUUCUCAACCUCUGGAGCCUGUGGCGUUACAUGCAUGUGCCACUGUGCCCAGCUCCCAGACAUUUUAUGUUUUAUUUUGAGGCAGGGUCUCUUAAACUGCUAAGGCUGUCUGCAAACUUGUGAUCCUCCUGCCUCAGCCUCCCAAAUUGCUGGGAUUACAGGUGCAUGCAACCGGCCCAGCCCUAGAAGCAAUUCUUGAAAAUGCAAAUUAAUUUAUAGUGACAGAAAGCAGUUUAGUAGAGGGGUGGGGUGGG
rnacentral:lncRNA from 1 species